CGUGCCAGCAGCCGCGGUAAGACGUAGGACGCAAGCGUUAUCCGGAUUUACUGGGCGUAAAGCGCCUGUAGGCGGUCAAAGUAAGUCGGAUGUGAAAGCCCCGUGCUCAACGCGGGGAAGCCAUUCGACACUGCGUGACUAGAGAACGGCAGAGGGAAACGGAAUUUCUGGUGUAGCGGUAAAAUGCGCAGAGAUCAGAAAGAACACCGGUGGCGAAGGCAGUUUCCUAGGCCGCAUCUGACGCUGAGAGGCGAAAGCUAGGGGAGCAAACAGGAUUAGAGACCCUGGUAGUCCUAGCUGUAAACGAUGGAUGCUAGGUGUGGGCCGGAAAGGUCCGUGCCGUAGUUAACGCGAUAAGCAUCCCGCCUGGGGAGUACGGCCGCAAGGCUAAAACUCAAACGAAUUGACGGGGACCCGCACAAGCAGCGGAGCGUGUGGUUUAAUUCGAUGCUACACGCAGAACCUUACCUGGGCUUGACAUGUAGGUGGUAGUGAAGUGAAAGCGGAGCGACCCUUCGGGGAGCCUACACAGGUGCUGCAUGGCUGUCGUCAGCUCGUGCCGUGAGGUGUCGGGUUAAGUCCCGUAACGAGCGCAACCCUUGUCCUUAGUUACAAGUGUCUAAGGAGACUGCCGGUGACAAACCGGAGGAAGGUGGGGAUGACGUCAAGUCAGCAUGGCCCUUAUGUCCAGGGCGACACACACGCUACAAUGGUCGGUACAAUGGGCAGCGCAGCCGCGAGGUGAAGCGAAUCCCAACAAAGCCGAUCCCAGUUCGGAUUGCAGGCUGCAACCCGCCUGCAUGAAGCCGGAGUUGCUAGUAACCGCGCGUCAGCCAUAGUGCGGUGAAUACGUUCCCGGGUCUUGUACACACCGCCCGUCACGUCAUGGGAGUUGUAACGCCUGAAGCCGGUAGUCUGACCUAACGGAGUACGCCGUCGAAGGC
rnacentral:rRNA from 1 species